GGCACGUGUAAUUCAAUGAAUUACUGCAUGUCUUGUAUCCAGGUGGAUUAGCGAAACCAUAUACAAGUAGAUUAAUUAGUAUGCUCACUUAUAUAGUGUAGAAAAAAAAAAAGAGGAGAAAAGGGUGUAAAUUAGAGAAAGAAAGGGGAAGAACGGAAGAGCAGAAAAUAUAUGGCAUAUUCGUGAUAAAUUAGGAGGCGAAAUCAGGAGUUUGAGUAGUUUAUCUGUCGUAAUAAGGGAGUGUCUGGUAAAUUUUUGUGCGGGCGUUAUUGACGCCUUCGGCGCCACAUAUUUGCGCAAGCCGAAUGCCCAAGACUGCCAGGACCUGCUGCGGAUGCACGAUACGGUGCACGUCUUUCCUGGAUUGUUAGGGAGUAUUGAUUGUAUGCACUGGGAGUGGAAGAAUUGUCCUGCAGCGUGGAGAGGCCAAUUCACCAGUGGGUAUAAGGGUACCCACCGACGAUGAUCCUUGAAGCAAUCGUUGACCACGUCUUUGGAUUUGGCAUGCUCACUUUGGCGUGGCGGGGUCCAACAACGACAUCAAUGUGCUGAACUCGUCCAGUCUCUUCACCGAGUAAUGCAAUGGAAACGGUCCGGUUAUCAGCUUCACUGCCAACGGACGACAACAUCAUAUGAGGUACUACUUAGCCGACGGCAUUUACCCGAGAUGGCCAGUUUUCUUGAAGACGAUCUCUUGUCCAACGGGUGCGAGGAGAGAGUUUUUUGCGGCAAAGCAGGAGGCUGCACGGAAGGACGUGGAGCGAGGAUUCGGUGUGCUUCAAGCGCGUUGGGGAAUAGUGAAAGGCCCGGCUCGUUCAUGGUACAGGCAUCAUAUCGCCAAUGUCAUGUACGCGUGCAUCAUCUUGCACAAUAUGAUUAUUCACGACGAAGGUCGUGCAGCUAGCCAGUGGUCCGACGAUGAAGCCGCUCCGAGCGCAGGUCAUGCAGCCCCGUCGGUCGUUUGAGGUUUACCCUAUGGACUCAACGAGAGAUUACAAGCUCAUGAGAGCAUGCGCAAUCAACAUGCUCAUCUUGAUCUCAUGAACGACAUGAUUGAAGAAGUUUGGACACGUAGUGGUCGUUGAAAUUGUACCUCUUUUUUGUAACUUAAAAAAAAAAAAUUAAGUAAUGUAUGUUUUUUGCUAGUUCUUUAA